AGAUUAAGUUAUUAAGGGCGCACGGUGGAUGCCUUGGCACUAGAAGCCGAUGAAGGACGUUACUAACGACGAUAUGCUUUGGGUAGCUGUAAGUAAGCAUUGAUCCAGAGAUUUCCGAAUGGGGAAACCCAGCACAAGUUAUGUUGUGUUAUCGACAUGUGAAUACAUAGCAUGUUAGAAGGCAGACCCGGAGAACUGAAACAUCUUAGUACCCGGAGGAAGAGAAAGAAAAAUCGAUUCCCUGAGUAGCGGCGAGCGAAACGGGAAGAGCCCAAACCAAUAAGCUUGCUUAUUGGGGUUGUAGGACACUCUAUACGGAGUUACAAAGGAAUAUAUUAGACGAAUCAUCUGGAAAGAUGAAUCAAAGAAGGUAAUAAUCCUGUAGUUGAAAAUAUAUUCUCUCUUGAGUGGAUCCUGAGUACGACGGAGCACGUGAAAUUCCGUCGGAAUCUGGGAGGACCAUCUCCUAAGGCUAAAUACUCUCUAGUGACCGAUAGUGAACCAGUACCGUGAGGGAAAGGUGAAAAGUACCCCGGAAGGGGAGUGAAAGAGAACUUGAAACCGUGUGCUUACAAGUAGUCAGAGCCCGUUAAUGGGUGAUGGCGUGCCUUUUGUAGAAUGAACCGGCGAGUUACGAUUUGAUGCAAGGUUAAGCAGGAAAUGUGGAGCCGUAGCGAAAGCGAGUCUGAAUAGGGCGUUGAGUAUUUGGUCGUAGACCCGAAACCAGGUGAUCUACCCUUGGUCAGGUUGAAGUUCAGGUAACACUGAAUGGAGGACCGAACCGACUUACGUUGAAAAGUGAGCGGAUGAACUGAGGGUAGCGGAGAAAUUCCAAUCGAACUUGGAGAUAGCUGGUUCUCUCCGAAAUAGCUUUAGGGCUAGCCUCAAGUGAUGAUUAUUGGAGGUAGAGCACUGUUUGGACGAGGGGCCCCUCUCGGGUUACCGAAUUCAGACAAACUCCGAAUGCCAAUUAAUUUAACUUGGGAGUCAGAACAUGGGUGAUAAGGUCCGUGUUCGAAAGGGAAACAGCCCAGACCACCAGCUAAGGUCCCAAAAUAUAUGUUAAGUGGAAAAGGAUGUGGCGUUGCCCAGACAACUAGGAUGUUGGCUUAGAAGCAGCCAUCAUUUAAAGAGUGCGUAAUAGCUCA
rnacentral:rRNA from 1 species